rnacentral:rRNA from 1 species
GACGAACGCUGGCGGCGUGCUUAACACAUGCAAGUCGAACGGAAAGGCGCGGCGUUUGUUGGGUUCUCGAUUGGCGAACGGGUGAGUAACACGUGAGUAACCUGCCCUUGUCUUUGUGAUAACUUCAGGAAACUGGGGCGAAUACCGGAUAUGAUCUCCUGCUGCAUGGUGUUGGUUGGAAAGUGUCGGCGGUUGGGGAUGGACUCGCGGUUUAUCAGCUUGUUUGUGGGGUAGUGGCGUACCAAGGCUUUGACGGGUAGCCGGCCUGAGAGGGUGACCGGCGACCUUGGGCCUGCGGUACGGACCAGAAUGCUACGGGAGGCAGCAGUGGGGAAUAUUGCAGAACGGGCGGAAGCCUGAUGCAGAAACGCUGCGUGCGGGAUGCCGGCCUUCGGGUGGUAAACAGCUUUGGACUGUGACGAAGCGUGCGUGACGGUAAUGGGUAAAGAAGCACCGGCUAACUACGUG